rnacentral:lncRNA from 1 species
GUAACCUACACGCAGCCCUAGCGGAAUUACCCUCUAUGGACGGACGAGUGGUCGGGGGCUCGUUAGCACUAUCUGCUUCUUUGAGGUGACACUAGCUCUUUUCGUGAUUGGGAAGACGAUAACGUUCACGACUCGAUGAUUUAUGUUCGGGGUUCUGAUGAUUUCUGCUGUUCUUUUGAGGCAGUUGCAGCUCACCUGUUAGACUUCUGCUGCAUUCUGUUUCGUCAAGCACAACAUUUACAACACCCAGUGAAAUAUACGGAAAAAGUCAUUCAUGUUCGGCUAGAAAUAUCGAAACUGCCAGAUGUAAGGAAGACGGUUGCAAAGGGAAAUCGAAGAAAAAAGAAAUCUACUGCUGCUUUCGUAUUAAGUAAUCUGCAUUACAAAUUAAUACUUAUACACUGCCGCGAUUCGCAAGAUGGAUUACAGAAUUUUGACAUGAUUACCUUUCAAAAAUCUUACUGUAAUGCUGAGAAGAGAAUAUAUCCAUCACGGUGACUCUUUGCAUGGGCAAAAUGUUGUGUUUGGCUCAUAUAAUUAUGAGUUGGCAACCAUUUCCUCUCAACUUUGUGGACUUUGGAAGCAUGUUUUGUGGAAGCAUGUUUUGUGGAAGCAUGUUUUGUGGAAGCAUGUUUUGAGGAAGCAUGUUUUGUGGAAGCAUGUUUUGUGGAAGCAUGUUUUGUGGUUGACAUAAUUGAUGGUGCAUGUCUAUAAGUGAAGGCAUUUUUCACACACAAAAUGAAGAGAGCUUGCCGAUUGUGAGGAUUGGGAGAGCAUCCAGAGGAAAACACAAGUGAGAGAAAAUAUAGAGUGAGAGUGAGAAACUCUUAGGGAGAGUAAGACUCUUGGGAAAAUUCUGUGAGGGUACAAGGGAUUGGGGUUUGGGUUAUGUCGAUUUAACUCAAGUGUAUCUUGUACUAGUUAUUCUCAUAGUGAAGAGUAAUAUCUCCGGGGACGUAGGCAGGUUUUUGCCGAACCUCGUAAAUUUCUCGGUGUCUUUAUUUCUUGUAUUUUAUUCUGUUCAACUGAGUGUGAUUUUUUGGUGAGGUUGUAAUUUGAAUCUCGAUUCUGCACUAACGAACGGACCAAAGCACAACAAUUGGUAUCAGAGCUUUGUUGGAAGCUUUGGUUCAUUGACGGUUCAGAUUUUUUAUUCACCAUGAUGACUACAAACAUGUCAUUUUCAGUUGAGAAGUUUAAUGGGAAAGGAAGUUUUACUCUUUGGCAGAUGAGAGUAAAGGAUGUCUUGACUCAACAAGGCUUGGCUAGAGCUUUGAAGGGAAAAGAUGGGAAGCCUCAAGAAAUGACAGAUGACCAGUGGGAGGAGCUGGAGGCGCGUUGUGUUAGCACGAUUCGACACUGUAUAGCUGAUAACAUUAUCAAUAAUGUUAUGGAUGAAGAUUCUGCGCCUGCACUUUGGGAGAAGUUGGAAAAACUCUAUAUUGCUAAGAGUUUGACCAACAAGUUGCAUUUGAAGCGGAAACUGUACAAGCUGAAGAUGGAUGAAGGUGGGAAUCUCAUGGACCACAUGAAUGAGUUCAACGGAUACUUGGAUCAAUUGCGGAAAGUUGAUGUUAAGGUUGAGGAAGAAGACAAAGCCCUCUUACUUCUUACCUCACUUCCAAAUUCGUAUGAAAAAUCUUGUGACAACCUUACUGCAUGGAAAAGAUACAGUAAGUUUGGAGCAGGUGCAAGCUUCUUUGGUGUCUUAUGAUACACAAAAGAAGAAGACCAUUGUUGAUGGUGGGCACGAGACUGCUUUAGCUGUUCAAGGUUGGAAUCGUGGAAGAAAAUUGGGAGAAGGAUCUGAGAGAGACAACAGGUUCAAAUCCGGUUCCGGAGGCAAAGGUCUACAAUGCUACAACUGCAAAGAAUUCGGGCAUAAAAAGAAAAAUUGUCCUUUGAGAAAAAGAAAGGAUGAUCUUGGUACGGGUUGUAGCAAUUUUGUGGCGGAAGACUUCGAGUAUGCCCUCUAGGUACUCGAAGCAACACUUCUCCUGGUGAUGUUUAGUCUCAAGUGUCGCAGGGGUUUUGCAACAGGUGGAGCUAUGGGAUUCACAGGUGAUGAGAUGAUCAUGAGGUAGGAGGAAGUGUGGGAAUUUUGUCUGGCUCGAUGGGUUGUUACUGGAAACGGGCGCGUUGACGAGUUUCCAGGUUGCAGACAAUGAAGAGGAGGAAAACCUGCUGGAGGAGACGAGGAUGUGUCGAGAUCCUGUCUGAAGCUAAAUGGUGAUUUUUAGCUUGCAGCAGCUGCACAUGCAUUGGCAGUGACUGAAUCAGGAAUAGGACCAACGAGGUUGAUUCAGGGUGUGUAUGCUGGUACGUAAGGCCAAUGGACAUUGGUGAUGGGUGCAAGGAUUUUUGCACAGUAUAUUCGCCAAGGUGGAGAUUGUUGUGUUUGGCUCAUAUAAUUAUGAGUUGGCAACCAUUUCCUCUCAACUUUGUGGACUUUGGAAGCAUGUUUUGUGGAAGCAUGUUUUGAGGAAGCAUGUUUUGUGGAAGCAUGUUUUGAGGAAGCAUGUUUUGUGGAAGCAUGUUUUGUGGAAGCAUGUUUUGUGGUUGACAUAAUUGAUGGUGCAUGUCUAUAAGUGAAGGCAUUUUUCACACACAAAAUGAAGAGAGCUUGCCGAUUGUGAGGAUUGGGAGAGCAUCCAGAGGAAAACACAAGUGAGAGAAAAUAUAGAGUGAGAGUGAGAAACUCUUAGGGAGAGUAAGACUCUUGGGAAAAUUCUGUGAGGGUACAAGGGAUUGGGGUUUGGGUUAUGUCGAUUUAACUCAAGUGUAUCUUGUACUAGUUAUUCUCAUAGUGAAGAGUAAUAUCUCCGGGGACGUAGGCAGGUUUUUGCCGAACCUCGUAAAUUUCUCGGUGUCUUUAUUUCUUGUAUUUUAUUCUGUUCAACUGAGUGUGAUUUUUUGGUGAGGUUGUAAUCUGAAUCUCGAUUCUGCACUAACGAACGGACCAAAGCACAACACAAAAGUUACAUAUGCAUCCUGCAUAAAAGGAGUUCGGAGAAAAAGAUGGCGUGAAAGUACCAAACCGGAUCUUCGUUAUUCUAAAGACUAACAAACAAAAAGAAAAACACGAAUAUCAUAAGCAACAUUACGCAACUUUCCCUCUGAUGCUCGGUAUAAAGCUUUGAUUUCAUAUUAUCCUGUCUUUACAAAAAAAUGGUUCCCACCGUGGCUGAUAAAGCUGCUGCUAGUGAAAGCACAGGAUAUGAGGAGGGUCUGGCAUGUAAAUUUCAGACAACUAAUUUACACAACAUUGAGCUCAUAGGGCAUAUAUACAUGACAUGAAUUCACAUCAUUCGACAUUGUGACGAUGCCAAUUCAAUCAGCAUACCUUUUAACUAGACACGAUUUCAGAAAAUUAAGGCACAUGGGAAGCACGGUAAACAUCUUUACUUCAUACAUCUUUAUUUUCUUCAUUUUUUUUAAAUCAUUCAACAUCUUCCAUUACACUUUUGAGUCCCCAGCAUUCUCUAUACUUCAGAAAAAUCAGAGCUAAAUUUUUUAAAAUUUCAACUAUUUCCACUGGGGACACGAUGUCAUAUCCAACCAGCAUACAGGGAACAUUUCUCGAUCCAAAUAGUUGCAAGUUGAGUAGAUAUGCUAGCAAUUGAUAUUUUAUAAAUACUCAUUACCAAACUCUACAGCAUCACAAUUUUCUACUGAUUCGGCAUAGGAUUGAUGUAAACUACAAACCGUAGAUAUCCUAUGCACACUACAAAUGGCGAAAAAAUAUAACAGCUGCACCUAGAUUCACAAAUCGAUAAGGAAAAAUGAAAACCCUUACCAGUUGAGUGAUCUAGCUGCAGGCAAGCAAAUUCUUCAUUGCCAUAGCAAGCUAAUUCCUAACCGAAUAAUGCACAUGGGAAGCUACAUCUCAAAAAUUAAUCAAAUGAAGUAAUGGGCAGAUGAAGGAGAAGACAAAAAGGAAUUACAACAAGACAGAGAAAAACAAAAUAUAAGUUUAAACCACAUUGCAGCUCCUGGCUCUACGAGAUAAAACCUCAACCAAAAAGCAUCCACAGAAUGCAGAAGCAAUCGAACCCGAUGAGGAACUGAACGUACUGCACGUAUCAAAAUAACUCAAGCACCUAACAAAACAACACUACUUAGACAACGAGAAAUAGCAGCGGAAGAGACUGGCAACACUGUCAACUUAUAGUGCACACAAUAUAUCUUGUUUAUUUUAUGUGUAUUAGAAGUGGUCUAGACAGAACUUGCAUUUGGGUAAUAAAAUUAAGGGGCACUUUGGAUGCGGUCCUUAGCUAUUAAUAUUCUUUGAUUGAAACCUUGUUAGUUUUUAGUUUUUUAUUGAGGUCCCUGACAUUAAUGUAAUAAUGUAAGUUACUAUAUUUUUAAAAUUAAAAAUUAAAAAUUGAAAUUUGUAAUUGUUUAUAUUAAUGAGAUUUUAAAUAAAACCCAUAAUUUAUGGGAUUAAAAAUAAUAAAAUAUAAAUUAUACUCUCUAUUAUAUUGUGUGUGUGUGUACAUAUAUGUAUGGGUACAUUAACCAAAAUUAACAAAAAAAGUUAUUGUACCAAAACAUGGAUACAUUCUCAAAUCAAAGAAAAAGAAUGUACCCAUAUAAGUUUAAACAUGGAUUAAAAAAUUUGAAAGGAUUUUAUAUUAAAAAAAGGGUACAUUUUACAUAUAACAAAUUUUUGAUAUAUUUGAGAAUGGGUACAUUUAAGAUUAAAAAAAAUUUAAAAAUUAUAUGAAUGGGUACAUUUAAGAUUAAAAAAUUGAGAAUCUUUUUAAAUAUAUAAAAAAAACUAAUAGGUACAAACUUAAUUUAAUUUAAUUUUUUUAUUAUUUUGGAAAUGUUUGAAUUGAAAAUUAAUUAGAAGUUUAAUAGAGGUGUGAGUAUUAAACCCUAAAUUAAUUACUAAUUUUUAUAUUAAAAAAUUAUAUAAUAAACAUGUAAAUUCAUUAUCACAUUAAUGCUAAGGACUUGAAUCAAAAUUUGAGAACUAAUAAGGUCUUAGUUAAUGAACAGUAAGAACUAGGGACCGGAUACUAAUUUUUCCUAAAAUUAAACCAAUAUAAUGCCUCGUUUACUAUGAACUUGACAAAAAAGGAAACAUUUCCAACAAAUUAUCAAUCGAGGAUUGGCCGCGUGAAGUAUGACACACUGGCCUAACAUAUAUAGCAUAACCAUAAGCUAAGCAUUAGAGGGAGCAUCAUGAUUUAGGAAAACAUGGAAGACCGAACAGACCUCAAUACAUGAACCAACAAUGCAUGAUCUGGAUACACCUCAAAAGACCUUGUGUGUGGUAAAAUAACUUACGAUUGCGGAACUUCCAGUCUCCAAGUGUGAAAGCGAAUAAUGCACCCUCCCAUUCUUUUAAAGCCCAGAAUCACUUGCAAACAAAGUUUUAAGCGUGAAUAAAGUGAAAGCAAAAGGUUCUAACGUAGAAAUAAUGAAGACGACAUUGAUAAAAAUAAUAUCAUUCCAAUGUGAACAUAUAUACACCGGUUCAAGAACGUGGAAAAAAAAAACAAAAAGUUCUCUUUUCUUCUCAACAUUUUGCCAUACCUUCAUAUAGGAUGACUGUGCACCACUAUUAAGGUGCUCUUAACAGGAUAAACCAUUAGUGCCGACUGACACACCUUGCAACUCCUUUGCGCCAGCUAUCCUAAAGGACCCUACAGUAGAGGUCCUUGUUGUACUUUUUAGCUGCCAUCAGGUUAGCAAAAUAUAAAGAAAUGCAAAAAGAACAGGCUAAGAUUAUUGCUGUAAAAUUUUCUCACGCCGCCUGCUGUUAAGGUGCCGGUCGUGAACAUGUCGAUCAGGAGUAAUUGGCUUGAAAUCCCUUCUUGGUUCAGGGGACUCGUGAAACCAGGUAUGGUUGAGGGCAUCCUUCGCUGUUAUUCGCUCCGCAGGGUAUAACAUAAGAGCCUCUUCAACAAAUCAAACCCAGAUUCAGAGAGCACUGGGCAUGAUCCAGUGAAAGAUGCGGCAGGAAAUUUCUUGCGCAGAAGAUUGUACCUGAAAGAGUUUCAGAAACUAUUAGAAAGAUAUUAAACGGUGAAAACAAGUAACCACAAAAAUCAGCAGGAAGGAAUGAACUUGCAUUCGCUAAAAUUAAAAUGGAAAAAAGAAACUUACGGUUGCUUAACAAAAUUAGCUUUGAAGCCCGGCAAUUUGGACAAACCACUUUUCUCAUCUGGUGUACCAAGAGUUUUGAAGAUCUUGUCCAGCUGCUCAAUUUCAUCUUUCCCGCUAAAGAGAGGUGCCUUCGCCAACAAUUCAGCCAUUAUGCAACCUACUGACCACAUAUCAAUUGCUGUAGAGUACUGUUUUGCACCUAAUAGAAUUUCAGGUGCCCGGUACCACAAAGUGACAACUAAAGAAGUAUAUGGCUUUAGUGGACUCCCAUAUUGUCGUGACAACUCAAAGUCGCAUAUUUUCAACUCACCCUCGUUAUUCAAUAGAAUAUUUGAUGUUUUCAGAUCUCUGUGAAGGAUCCAAUUGUCAUGAAGAUACUCUACACCCUCCAAACGUUGUUUCAUCAAGUACUUAACUUCGCCAAUACUAAAUGGCUGCUUCAUUGACUCCAUUAGCCCCUUCAAGUCAUGGUCCAUAUGCUCCAUAACCAUAUAAACACCAUCAAAGUCAUCCAUAACAACUUCCUUAACACCAACAACAGAAGGGUGAUUAAAGGACAGGAGAAUAUUUAUUUCUCUCAAUGCCGACAUAGGGAAACCAUCACAUCCCUUAUCCACAUCCAUCUUCAUCUUCUUCAAUGCGACAAUUUCUCCGGUCUUUUUAUCUCUGGCUCUAAAGACAACACCAUAAGUGCCUUCACUUAUAUGGUUGAGCCUUUCAUACUCAAACACACUUCUGCAACCUUGAAGCAUGUUUAUACAUUUUUGUGUCGGCACUUCUGGCUCUUCAAUCUGAGAAAGAUCAGAAUCAUCCUCAGAAUCAGAGUAGAACUGGCUAUCGUCAGCAUUCCCACCAUAAUUAUCAGCAUCCAUAUGCGCAUCAUCACAUAACUCGUCUCCAUAAAGUGCAUCUCCACUGCCAGGCUUUUCAAAGCUGCCUUCUAUGUCAGAGCCAGAAGUUCUAGCCCGACUCAACCUAGAGCUUUCUAUCCGAAUCUCCCCACUUUCAGGCGAACUGUCAUCAGAGAUAUCCCUUGGGGAAUCACUACCGGAUGACCAUUUUGACAAUGAGAUGUCACGUUGAUAGAAAAAUUCUUUGUCUUCCUUGUUUCUAAAAUUUAAGUCACUGUUUCUGGAUUUUUGUUCUUUUCUUUUUGGAUAUAGUGUUUGUUUGUGCACAGACAAAACAAACAUUGUAUCUUUUUUUUUUUUUUUUUUGGUUUCCAUAAACAAUGUUAUGUUUUGGGUUAUCCAGAAACAGUUUUAUGUUAUGGUUCUUUUUUUUUCUAGACACUUUUUCGCUCUGCCAUUAAACUUCUUUGAACUUAUUUCGGCGGCUUUGUUUCAAUAAAUGCUUCAUUUUUCAACUUUGAUUUGGUUGUUUUUGAAAUGGGGGAAUUUAAUUUGAUAUGAAGACAAGGAGUUAUUAUGGCGGUUUCGUGCUAAUUUGAAGUUGGUGAAGAGUCAAUACAAUAUCAAAUCAUUUAGGGAUAUUUAUAGAAGUGUAGAUUUGUAGUGGGUGGGGCUUGUAAGUUUGACCCGUAGACAAUAGUUUUGGAUGAUUUUGUAUUAAACUUUGAGUCAUUUUGGUUAAAUAACAUUUUAAAAUGAUUUUUUGUUAAAUAUUUAUUGACCCAGACCCUUUUCAUUAAGGACUUGGAUUCUCUGCCCUCCCAAUUUGGUGCCCUCCCCGUGCCCUCCUGUUUGUGUGGUCACGGUUAAGGUACGUCAAUAUUUUAUAUUAUUAUUUUUUUUUGUCUUAUUAUUUUUAUAAAAAACAAUAUAAAAUGUUAGCAUGGAUUAACCGUGACCACACAAAACAAGAGGGCACACGGGGAGGGUACCAAAAUAGGAGGGCAGAUAAUCCAAGUCCUUUCAUUAAAACUCACUAAAUUUAAUCACCCUAACAUUUCUCUUAUAUUUAUAUGGCAACCCAAGAGAGUCAACAUCUGGAUUUAAUUUCGCAUAAAAUCCGCGUUUGCUCCUCAUUCCUUAUCUGAAUUAUUUACCUCCCAAACUCAACCUUUUUACAACCACAAAAGCACCCAACUAGGAAAAAGCCAAAUCAAAUACGUCAGUUCCCUUUCGUCUCCUGUCUCUUCGUUUUCGUCUUACAACUUAUAAGCACUUUCAACAUUCAAGUACCACGUCCAACUGAACCUUCAACCAUGGCGGACGAAUCCACACCAAAUCCCAAGAGCGGCUACUGCCUACAAACCAAGACAUUCCACACUCUCCGGCCUCCGGUCCCACUCCCGCCACUCUCCCAACCCCUCUCCCUCACCCAGUUCACCCUCUCCCUCCUCCAAUCCUCUACCGCCGCGCCCACCACCUCCGUCCUCAUCGACGCCGCCUCCGACCGCCAUGUCUCCUACCAAACUUUCCUCGGCCAAAUCCACUCCCUCACUCUCUCCCUCCAAUCCCUCGCCCCCUCUCUCUCCAAAGGUCACGUGGCCUUCAUUCUCUCCCCUCCUUCCCUCCACGUCCCCGUCCUCUAUUUCUCUCUCCUCGCCUUAGGCGUCGUCGUUUCGCCCGCUAAUCCAGUCGGGUCAGAGUCCGAGAUCGCCCAUCAGGUCCGGCUAACCCGACCAGCCAUCGCCUUCGCCACGUCAACAACCGCUCAGAAGCUCCCCAAGGGUGAUGACAAAAUCCGCAACGUUAUCCUCCUCGACUCGCCCGAAUUCCUCUCCAUGCUCGACCGGGUCGGUUCAUCCGAAACACGACCCGACCUCCGGUUUGCAGUCAACCAGACCGACCCGGCUACGAUUCUCUUCUCCUCCGGCACCACCGGCCGAGUCAAAGGCGUUCUCUUAUCACACCGCAACUUCAUCGCCGUCAUAGCUGGGCUCCAUGCCCUGCACGAACCCGAUCCGGACCUACCCAAAAGCCAAGCGGUGUCGCUGUUCACGCUACCUCUGUUCCACGUGUUCGGGUUCUUCAUGGUGGUUCGGGCGGUGGCAAUGUGCGAGACCUUGGUUCUGAUGGAGAGGUUCGAUUUCGAAUCAAUGCUGAGGGCCGCGGAGAGGCACAAAAUCUCGUACAUGCCGGUAUCGCCGCCGCUGGUCGUUGCAAUGGCGAAGUCGGAGCUGGUUAAGAAAUACGAUCUCAGCUCGCUUCGGCUUCUCGGCUGUGGCGGUGCGCCGCUGGGAAAGGACGUUGUUGACAGAUUCCGUGAGAGAUUUCCCACUGUUGAAAUUGUACAGGUCAGAGAAUUAACGUUGUCGCAUUACCUUCCUAAUUUUAAUUCUUGACCGUUGAUUGAUAGUUAUGUAAACGGCACAAAAUCUUGGCCGUUGGUAUUUGUUUAUCUUUUAACUUCCCGCGUUUUUCGAAAAAUUAUUUAAUUUGUGCUCUAAUUUUCUUUCCUAGCAAGAAAACUUGUACGUGAAAUAAAAUACACGUUUAAUUGAAAAAUGCAUCUACAGUACAUAAUUCACAUUCGAAUCUUGCACUCAGGUUCGAAUCUUUUUUGUUAAACUAGAGUAGUUUAGAAUAUUAUCGGGUAAAAGAAAAAGAGUUAGUAGGCACACAUUUCUGUCGUCUGUCACAUGUCUGAAUAUUGUGGCUGUUCAGGGAUAUGGUUUGACGGAGACCGGAGGAGGGGCAACGAGGAUGAUAAACUCCGAAGAGACUAAGUCGCAUGCUUCUGUGGGCCGCCUAUCGGAAAAUAUGGAAGCCAAGAUUGUCGACCCUGAAACAGGAGAGGCAUUGCCUCCCGGCAAGAGGGGUGAGCUAUGGCUGCGAGGUCCAUCGGUCAUGAAAGGUAAUGAACACUUGCCAUGUCUCAGAUAUCCCACGUUGCAAACGUAAAACGUGGUAAGAUGAUUGUAAGUUUUUCGGCACCCUGUUCUUACAGUUUGAUUUUGCAGUGAUGACAAUGUAGUUCCGUAUCCAAAUGACCUUUUCGAAACCUUUAUAACAUUUGCAGGUUAUGUAGGAGAUGAGAAGGCAACUGCUGAGACCUUGGACAAAGACGGGUGGUUGAAGACCGGUGAUCUUUGCUAUUUCGAUGACGAGGGGUUCCUCUACAUUGUUGACAGGUUGAAGGAGUUGAUAAAGUACAAGGCAUAUCAGGUGACGACCGAAACUGAGACCCUUUGAAAGUUCACUCAUAACAAAGAUCACUGUAAAUAUCAUUUGAUCAGUCCCUUUACGUAAUGUGUUAUUUUCGGUGUCUCUAAUUCUGGAACGAAUUGCAGGUACCUCCAGCUGAGCUGGAACAUAUACUUCUAUCCCAUCCUGACAUUGCCGAUGCUGCUGUGAUUCCGUAUGUAUCUAGUACUAUGUCAUCCUUAGAAGUUUAGCUUUAUUUGUAAACAAGAAAUUGGUGCAUUUAAAGGAGAAAAAAGGUAUAGAGAAAAUUUUCCGUUUAAACGGAUAUUUUGCUGAUAAGAUGGCCUUUACGAAAUCUUGUUUUAUGCCGUCCCACCCUCAUCCCAGAAGGCUAAAAGAAAACGAGUGGCAUGUGUUCGCGCAGAUAGUCGAUAAGAUCACAGUUUCUGGAAUAAUCUACUGGUUUUUCUUUUUGUGUAUUUUUUUCCUCAAGGUUUACAAGUUCUUUGUUCUUCCCAUUUGGGUUCGUAAAACAGGUAUCCGGAUGAAGAUGCAGGGGAGAUUCCCAUGGCCUAUGUGGUUAGAAAGCCCGGAAGCAACAUCACCGAAGUUCUAGUUAUGGAUUUCGUUGCAAAACAAGUAAGCUCCUGAAUGGAAAAUCUGUAACUGAAUGUGCAUACAAGUUUUCUUCACAGCUUUCGAAUUAAAAUUGCUCAUAUACGUAGCUUUACAUACAUAUUUUACGGAAAAAGAGAACAAUUCUCAUCACGAAUAUUAGGGUUCAACUGCAGAUUUGAGGAGCAGCUUUGUAUGUUAUAGGCUUUCACAUUGGUGUUGGCGCGUUCUUAUUGCAGGUUUCACCGUACAAGAAGAUACGGCGGGUAGCGUUUAUCAACUCCAUUCCAAAAUCUCCAGCAGGGAAGAUCUUGAGGAGGGAGCUAGUCAAUCAUGCUUUAUCUAGUAGUUCAUCUAAAUUAUGAUUCGUUCGUCCAAAGCAAAGGAAGAUCAAAGCCUUCUCAGCAUCACAUUCCGUCCGGCGUUCAUCAUAUCGGCUCAUUCAUGCUCAUUAGCAUGUAUGCAAUCUUUGAAUUUUCCGGUGGUGAGGGUCGGAUCAUAGUUGGGUGCCCACUUUGUUUGGGUUUACUUGUGUAUAUGUACACCAUUUUUCUGUGAUAUUUUGAAACCCUAAACCCUUCAAGACCCUUUUUUGUUUCUUCGUACCAUUGUGUACUGUGCCAUAGAAGUUUGCUCCCCAUCUUAUGGCCUUCAUACAACAUUUUUAUCGUAUGGGCCCUAUCUCUAUUAUUUAUCGCUCUUAGAGAAGCAAUUUGGACACUUCCAACCGUUUGUGUGCACUCACUUGAAUUUAGAGACUUCCAACCGUUUGUGCACACUCACAAUACUUGGGUUAGUAGACCGCGCACUUGUGAGUGUGACGUUUGAUUCAACUAGCCCUAGCAAAAUCCAUGACAUGUUCGUACACCACGUAACAAUUGCAAACACAUCUUACAUUAUCAAUAUUGGGCCUAUAUAUACCAAUUUACUUGUUCGCUAGUCUCCAACCACUUUAACCACGUAGCAAUUUGCUUGUUGCAACUCCGGCAAUACGUCGCAAUCGAGAAUCAAUAACAGCUCCGGAAACUUGGGAAUAACCAACAGUUCCGGGAACCUCGGGAGGUUUCUUCUCAGAAAGUGAUCUUGAAGCAGUUGAUUAUGUUCUAAUGCCUACAAAUACACAAUUGGCCUCAUACAUGUCCCUCUAUCGGAAAAGACAGCCUUUUUGGUGUGUCCACUUGCAACUUCCUCAUGCUCUGUACUUCCCCUCUACGCUGCGCAGAGAAAACUAAAAAACUAAAUCCAAAACAGUUAUCAAACUCGCCCAUUGUGUUUUGAUUUUGGAGUGUAACAAAGUUUGCUAUUGUUUUCAGUGACCUACACGCAACCCUAGUGGAAUUACCCUCUAUCUGCUUCUUUGAGGUGACACUAGCUCUUUUCGUGAUUGGGAAGACGAUAACGUUCACGACUCGAUGAUUUAUGUUCGGGGUUCUGAUGAUUUAUGUUCGGGGGCUCGUUAGACUUCUGCUGCAUUCUGUUUCGUCAAGCACAACAUUUACAACACCCAGUGAUACGGAAAAAACCAGUCAUGUUCGGCUAGAAAUAUCGAAACUGCCAGAUGUAAGGAAGA